rnacentral:piRNA from 1 species
UGUUGUCAUCCCUCAUGACCCUCACAGGAGC